UGGUUAAAUCCACACUCAGCGAUUUAAUUCGUUUCGUACGCAUAAAAUUAUAUCGUUAUUUUAUUUUAACCUAAAAAGAAAAUCGUCACCCCUUCGUUGCUCUUCUGCCGAAACGUUUGUCCCUCGGCCUUCUUCUUUCCCUUCUUUGUAGUUUUGAAUUUUUUAAGGCUAUUGAGGGGGGAUUGUUGAAAGUCGGGUUGGAUUAGCGCGUAGGUGGGGGAACAACGGGGGGAGUGUUUUGAUUUUCCCCUUCAUAUUCCCGGCAUUUUCAACGCCCUCUCGGGGCACCUUCUUGUUAAGUGAUGUUGAUUUUGCCGUAACAAAACGGAGGGGCACACAAAAAAGGAGAGGAAAAAAAAAAAGGGUGUGCUGGUAGG
rnacentral:sRNA from 1 species